GAUGAACGCUGGCGGCGUGCCUAAUACAUGCAAGUCGAGCGAACAGAUGAGGAGCUUGCUCCUCUGACGUUAGCGGCGGACGGGUGAGUAACACGUGGAUAACCUACCUAUAAGACUGGGAUAACUUCGGGAAACCGGAGCUAAUACCGGAUAAUAUAUUGAACCGCAUGGUUCAAUAGUGAAAGACGGUUUUGCUGUCAAUUAUAGAUGGAUCCGCGCCGCAUUAGCUAGUUGGUAAGGUAACGGCUUACCAAGGCAACGAUGCGUAGCCGACCUGAGAGGGUGAUCGGCCACACUGGAACUGAGACACGGUCCAGACUCCUACGGGAGGCAGCAGUAGGGAAUCUUCCGCAAUGGGCGAAAGCCUGACGGAGCAACGCCGCGUGAGUGAUGAAGGUCUUCGGAUCGUAAAACUCUGUUAUUAGGGAAGAACAAAUGUGUAAGUAACUAUGCACGUCUUGACGGUACCUUAUCAGAAAGCCACGGCUAACUACGUG
rnacentral:rRNA from 1 species